rnacentral:rRNA from 1 species
CCUACGGGAGGCAGCAGUGAGGAAUAUUGGUCAAUGGACGAGAGUCUGAACCAGCCAAGUAGCGUGAAGGAUGACUGCCCUAUGGGUUGUAAACUUCUUUUAUAAAGGAAUAAAACGAGGCACGUGUGCCUUUUUGCAUGUACUUUAUGAAUAAGGAUCGGCUAACUCCGUGCCAGCAGCCGCGGUAAUACGGGGGAUCCGAGCGUUAUCCGGAUGUAUUGGGUUUAAAGGGAGCGUAGAUGGGUUGUUAAGUCAGUUGUGAAAGUUUGCGGCUCAACCGUAAAAUUGCAAUGGAUACUGGCAGUCUUGAGUACAGUUGUGGUAGGCGGAAUUCGUGGUGUAGCGGUGAAAUGCUUAGAUAUCACGAAGAACCCCGAUUGCGAAGGCAGCUUACUAAACUGUGACUGACAUUGAUGCUCGAAAGUGUGGGUAUCAAACAGGAUUAGAUACCCCUGUAGUC